AUUGAACGCUGGCGGCAGGCCUAACACAUGCAAGUCGAGCGGAUGAAGGGAGCUUGCUCCUGGAUUCAGCGGCGGACGGGUGAGUAAUGCCUAGGAAUCUGCCUGGUAGUGGGGGAUAACGUCCGGAAACGGGCGCUAAUACCGCAUACGUCCUGAGGGAGAAAGUGGGGGAUCUUCGGACCUCACGCUAUCAGAUGAGCCUAGGUCGGAUUAGCUAGUUGGUGGGGUAAAGGCCUACCAAGGCGACGAUCCGUAACUGGUCUGAGAGGAUGAUCAGUCACACUGGAACUGAGACACGGUCCAGACUCCUACGGGAGGCAGCAGUGGGGAAUAUUGGACAAUGGGCGAAAGCCUGAUCCAGCCAUGCCGCGUGUGUGAAGAAGGUCUUCGGAUUGUAAAGCACUUUAAGUUGGGAGGAAGGGCAGUAAGUUAAUACCGUGCUGUUUUGACGGUACCAACAGAAUAAGCACCGGCUAACUUCGUG
rnacentral:rRNA from 1 species